AUGGAUGCAGCUAGUUAUUCAUACAGUGAACAUGGUUUUAAAACUGCAAUGGCUGCAUUAAAGAAUGAGAGUGAGGCUGCUUGGGAAUGGCUAAGCAAAAUACCUAAACACACUUGGGCCAGACAUGCAAUGGAUAUGAACUGCAAAAUAUACUUAGUUGUUAACAAUCUAAGUGUGGUUUUCAACAAGUGGGUUCUAGAUGUCAGGGCUAAACCAAUUAGGACCAUGGUGGAUGGAAUUAGGACAAAGUUAAUGGUCAAGUUCAAUGCAAAUAGAAGAAAGACUGAGACUGUAAGAUGGGAAAUUUGUCCAACAUAUGCUGAGAAAUUAGAGGAAGCAAAGAAGUUUGCAAGGAACUGUCAUGCUUUGAUGGCUGGGCCCAAUCUUUACCAAGUCACUAGUGGGGAGAGAACUUAUGUUGUGAACCUACAACAUAGGACUUGUGGGUGCUAG
rnacentral:rRNA from 1 species